rnacentral:lncRNA from 1 species
AGUUAUAUCCCAUCUGUCCUCCAUGACUCUCACAAGCAAAUCAGAAAGUGGUGGGGACAUGCCGAUAGAUGAGGAGGUUCCAGAACCAAGAUACACCCACCCUGGGAAAGAAACAUUCUGUAAGCAGGCACUGUGUGAGGAACUUUAUAUACAUAAUCUUAAUGUUGCCAUUUGAUCAUAAAGAUAAUUCAACUUCACAAUUUGACUCCAGCAGUAUGUUGAUCCUGCUAUAUCCAAGAAUUUAGCAUCAACAAACCAGAACAACUGUCAUCUCCUUGGUAUG